UCCUGGCUAGAACUCAGUGGGCAGAGCAUGAGACUCUUAACCUCAGGGCUGUGGGUUCGAGCCCCAUGUUGGGCA